rnacentral:rRNA from 1 species
GGGGGUAAAAUUAAUAAAUAUAAUAUAAAUAAUAAAAAAAAUUUUAGUUAAAAAUAUAUAAUGGGGGUUAAAGUAUUUUUAAUGGAAAAAAUUAAUAGAUUUAUAGUAUAAUAGUAUUGUAAAAGAAUUUUUAAAUAAUUUAAAUAUAAAAAUUAGAAUAAAGUAAAUUUAAAUUAUUGUAUCUUGUGUAUCAGAGUUUUUUAAAUAAAAAUUUUUAUUUAAAAAAUUCUCGAAUUUAAAAGAGUUAAUUAAUUAAAAAAGUUAAUGUUGAAUAAUUAUUUUAAAUAAUUAAUUAGAAAUGAAAUGUUAAUCGUUUUUAAAUAUAUCUAGUUUUUUUAGAAAAAAAUUUAAUUUUAAAUUUAAAUAAUUUUAUAAUUAAUUAAUUAAUUAUUAAAAUUUAAUAUUUAAUAUAUUAAGGGAUAAGCUUUAAAUUAAAAAAUUAUAAUUAUUAAAUAUUAAUUAAAAUUUUUAAAAUUUAUAUUGUUUAAAAAUUAUAAUUUAUUAUAAAAAAUUUUAAUUAAAUUAAAAUUUAAAAAUAAAAUUUAAUUUUUUAUAAAAAAAUUAUUUUUAAUAGUAAAAAAUUAGAUAUAAUGAUAAAAUUAGUAUAUUAUAAAUAAAAAGUUAUGGAUUUGAUUUAAAUUAAAUUAAAGGAAUUCGGCAAAAAUUUAUAUUCACUUGUUUAUCAAAAACAUGUCUUUUUGAAUAUAAUUUAAAGUCUAAUCUGCCCACUGAUAUUAAUUAAAGGGCUGCAGUAUAUUGACUGUACAAAGGUAGCAUAAUCAUUAGUCUUUUAAUUGAAGACUUGUAUGAAAGAUUUAAUGAAAUAUAAACUGUCUCUAAUUUAUUAUUAGAAUUUAAUAUUUUGGUUAAAAAGCUAAAAUAAAAUUAAAAGACGAGAAGACCCUAUAGAGUUUUAUAUUUAAUUUAAUUAAAGUUAAAUAUGAAAUUAAAUUAUUUAAAUUAAAUUAAAUAUUAUAUUGGGGUGAUAAAAAAAUUAAAAAAACUUUUUUUUUUAUUAAACAUAAAUAAAUGAUUAAUUGAUCCAUAAUUUAUGAUUAUAAGAAAAAAUUACCUUAGGGAUAACAGCGUAAUAUUUUUUUUUAGUACAGAUAAAAAAAAAAGUUUGCGACCUCGAUGUUGGAUUAAGAUAAAAAUUAAAUGCAAAAGUUUAAAUUUUUGAUCUGUUCGAUCAUUAAAAUCUUACAUGAUCUGAGUUCAAACCGGUGUAAGCCAGGUUGGUUUCUAUCUUUAAUAAAUUAUAAUAUUUUAGUACGAAAGGAUCAAAUAUUAAAAAUAAUUUUAGUUAAAUUGAAUUUUAUUAAUAGUUUUAUA